rnacentral:lncRNA from 1 species
GUCAGCAAUCAAUGGACAACACAGAUAGUGCUUCUACAAAAUUCAUUUGAGGUACAUAACAUUUAGGAAAGCAAUAGCAUAUGACAUCAUAUAAACCUCACUCUGCUCAGGAUCCAGUCACAGCCCUAAAACUGUUGCAUUUCACCCUUUGCGAAAGGUGGAACAGUGGGUCUGUGCCUUAAGAGACCUCGUUGCAACAAAAAUGGACCUUUGAGGGGAGAAUCGUCCAAUAUUCACCUUUCUGUAAGGUCUAUCCUACCCCUCCCUGUGAACAAAGCCCACUCUUACAAAUCUUUCUGGGUGACCACCAAUGGCUUCCACUUUGCAUCAUUCACGUAAGAAGCUUGCUGAGCCCCCGUAGGGAACAGACUGUGAGCCCCAAAGAAAAGAAUGGAAAGAAAAAAGACGGCAGGUGACGGGGAGAACAAAGGCCAAUGAAAUGUAGAGAAAAGUAAAUGUCCUUGGCACCUGCAGCCCAUGAGUACAAAGCCCAGACAGACAGAGCAGGACAGUCCUCCAGGAACUCACAAGUGCGCUACGGGUAAUGCUUUGCUGGAGGUAAAAAGCAACCUCCGCUGGACAGUGGCCAGACCUCCAGGAUCCUGGAAGUCUCCUUGAACACCUAGAAAUCCCUUUGGAAACUUCCUUAUCUCUACCCUCUGCCCCCAAUGUACAGGAUAUGAUCAUUCGCUCCUCAAAAUUCCAGGGCAGCUCUUCUUGCCCAGGGGUCCCAUCCCGGAGCUUCAGUACAAACACCCUUUUGCCCCGGAGAUGCCUCAAGAGUUCUUUGCUGACCGUUCGCUCCUGGCCCACAUCGCAUCAGCAGACCUGGCUUUUUUCCCUCGAAAGGCCGACUUUGACUGCAGAAAUCUCAUCGAAGGGGAAGCGCCCAGCGGUGGAGGGACGGAAGGCAGUGGCAGAGUGGGGCGCCUGGGACCCCACCAAGCCCCUGCUGUGAACUCAGCCCUGAGUAAAGCCACACCAAUAGGGACUCACAGGAACUGGGUUACUCUUCUACCUGAAGCAACAAAGCAACACUGCAACAGCACCACACAAGAUGCCCGAAAUGCAGAUUUCCAAGAUCCUGGGCAUCAGGUAAAGAGGACAGCCAUCCCAGACACGUGGAAACACCCAGGGGAGCGGAGCCCUACAAGUGCUCCAAGGUACUGCCUCCAGAGAGUUUCCAAGCAAGGCACCGGAGGGAAGGGCUGCUGAAGAGGAGCCCUGCGGACCUCGUAGAGUUGAGGACACUGGUCUGAGAGACCCCUGGACAGAGGAGAGACGGGGAGGACAGGGCUGUGCAAAGUCACCUAGCCAGAGCUGUGUUGGGGCCCUAGGGUGGUGUGCAGUGAGGUCCUGCUCAGGGCCUCCAUGGAGGCAAGGCCAGCAAGUCAGGCGGCCAUCCUUUGAACAGGGCCUGGUGCAUAC